AGAGUUUGAUCCUGGCUCAGGAUGAACGCUGACAGAAUGCUUAACACAUGCAAGUCUUUGGCGAAUCUGUGCUUGCACAGCCUAGCCAAGGCGGACGGGUGAGUAACGCGUAAAGAACUUGCCCUGCAGACAGGGAUAACAGACGGAAACGACUGAUAAUACCUGAUACAAUUGCCAGCACGCAUGUGCCCGGCAAUGAAAAGUGAUGCUGCAGGAGAGCUUUGCGUCCUAUUAGCUUGUUGGUGAGGUAACGGCUCACCAAGGCGAUGAUAGGUAGCCGGCCUGAGAGGGUGAACGGCCACAAGGGGACUGAGAUACGGCCCUUACUCCUACGGGAGGCAGCAGUGGGGAAUAUUGGACAAUGGGGGCAACCCUGAUCCAGCAAUUCUGUGUGCACGAAGAAGGUUUUCGGAUUGUAAAGUGCUUUCAGCAGGGAAGAAGAAAGUGACGGUACCUGCAGAAGAAGCGACGGCUAAAUACGUGCCAGCAGCCGCGGUAAUACGUAUGUCGCAAGCGUUAUCCGGAAUUAUUGGGCAUAAAGGGCAUCUAGGCGGCCAGACAAGUCUGGGGUGAAAACUUGCGGCUCAACCGCAAGCCUGCCCUGGAAACUGUUUGGCUAGAGUGCUGGAGAGGUGGACGGAACUGCACGAGUAGAGGUGAAAUUCGUAGAUAUGUGCAGGAAUGCCGAUGAUGAAGAUAGUUCACUGGACGGUAACUGACGCUGAAGUGCGAAAGCUGGGGGAGCGAACAGGAUUAGAUACCCUGGUAGUCCCAGCCGUAAACGAUGAUUACUGGGUGUGGGCAUGAAGAGUGUCCGUGCCGAAGCUAAUGCGAUAAGUAAUCCGCCUGGGGAGUACGGCCGCAAGGCUGAAACUCAA
rnacentral:rRNA from 1 species